rnacentral:rRNA from 1 species
UAGGGAAUCUUCGGCAAUGGGCGGAAGUCUGACCGAGCAACGCCGCGUGAGUGAAGAAGGUUUUCGGAUCGUAAAGCUCUGUUGUUAGAGAAGAACGUUGGUAGGAGUGGAAAAUCUACCAAGUGACGGUAACUAACCAGAAAGGGACGGCUAACUACGUGCCAGCAGCCGCGGUAAUACGUAGGUCCCGAGCGUUGUCCGGAUUUAUUGGGCGUAAAGCGAGCGCAGGCGGUUCUUUAAGUCUGAAGUUAAAGGCAGUGGCUUAACCAUUGUACGCUUUGGAAACUGGAGGACUUGAGUGCAGAAGGGGAGAGUGGAAUUCCAUGUGUAGCGGUGAAAUGCGUAGAUAUAUGGAGGAACACCGGUGGCGAAAGCGGCUCUCUGGUCUGUAACUGACGCUGAGGCUCGAAAGCGUGGGGAGCAAACAGG